GACGAACGCUGGCGGCGUGCCUAACACAUGCAAGUCGAGCGGAGUUAGUUUGUAGCUUGCUACAAACUAACUUAGCGGCGGACGGGUGAGUAACGCGUGGAUAACCUGCCUUUUACAGGGGGAUAACACCUGGAAACUUGUGCUAAUACCACAUAACAUAUAGAAGUGGCCUCACUUUGAAAUCAACGGAGCAAUCCGGUAGAAGAUGGAUCCGCGUCCGAUUAGCUAGUUGGCGGGGUAAAGGCCCACCAAGGCGACGAUCGGUAGCCGAACUGAGAGGUUGAUCGGCCACAUUGGGACUGAGACACGGCCCAGACUCCUACGGGAGGCAGCAGUGGGGAAUAUUGCGCAAUGGGGGAAACCCUGACGCAGCAACGCCGCGUGAAGGAUGAAGGCUUUCGGGUUGUAAACUUCUUUAGUCGGGGACGAAAUAAUGACGGUACCCGAAGAAUAAGCCACGGCUAACUACGUGCCAGCCGCCGCGGUAA
rnacentral:rRNA from 1 species